rfam:Oryza glumipatula chromosome 1, whole genome shotgun sequence.
UUUAAGCGCACCCAUAAGUUUUCGUAUCCAACUUUAAUCGUCCGUCUUAUUUCAAUUUUUUUUAUGAUUACUAUUUUUAUUGUCAUUAAAUGAUAAAACAUGAAUAGUAAUUUAUGUGUGAGAUAUGUUUUUGACCUUUUUAAAACAAAAUAAGACGAACGAUUAAAUUAGAUAUGGAAACUCAUGGCUGCGCUUAAA